rnacentral:rRNA from 1 species
UACGUAGGGUGCGAGCGUUGUCCGGAAUUACUGGGCGUAAAGGGCUCGUAGGCGGCCAACUAAGUCGGACGUGAAAUCCCCAGGCUCAACCUGGGAACUGCGUCCGAUACUGGAUGGCUUGAAUUCGGGAGAGGGAUGCAGAAUUCCAGGUGUAGCGGUGAAAUGCGUAGAUAUCUGGAGGAAUACCGGUGGCGAAGGCGGCAUCCUGGACCGACAUUGACGCUGAUGAGCGAAAGCUAGGGGAGCAAACGGG